rnacentral:rRNA from 1 species
UACAGAGGGUGCAAGCGUUAAUCGGAAUUACUGGGCGUAAAGCGUGCGUAGACGGUUACAUAAGUCGGAUGUGAAAGCCCCGGGCUCAACCUGGGAAUUGCAUUCGAGACUGCGUAGCUAGGGUGCGGAAGAGGGAAGCGGAAUUUCCGGUGUAGCGGUGAAAUGCGUAGAUAUCGGAAGGAACACCAGUGGCGAAAGCGGCUUCCUGGUCCAGCACCGACGUUCAGGCACGAAAGCGUGGGGAGCAAACAGG